GUAGUAGCUGAGAAGUCAAGUUGGUCCCAAGUGAUGCCGUUCAUUUGCAAUUCAUGUGUUAAAUAUGUGGAUUAAAAUGGUAAAUAAACCAUGUAAAUUUGCAAAUAUUCUUCGUAACAUAAGGUUUCACAAAGAUGAAUUAGGUGUUAACUUAUAUGAUUAAGAUGAAUUAAGUGAUCAUUUAUAUGAUUAAGAUCUGAUAGGAGAGAUCUGCAGAGCACUGCAGCCAUUGGUCAGAAAGGCCAUUUAGUGUUAUUAGAAUUAUUUAUAACUAAAUUAUUGGAUUAACAGAGUUAUUGAAUUCGUCAAUUAGUGGAACGGUAUUUUAACCAGUUUUAGAAACCGGGAUUUGUAUCAAUAACCUGUUGUAAUAACCUGUUUGUUGCUACCUGGAUAACGCGCUAUACCGCCUCAUCCACAACUCCCCUUCCACGGAACACUCUGGACUACAAAAGGAUGGAAGACAAGUUUAUCACGGCCUUUUUCUUCUGCCAUCGCUCUUCUUCAGCAACUCCGGCCCGGGGUGGUUUAGUGUGCUGUCUCUCUCUCCCAUGUCACUAGUCCAUUAAGAAGAAGUCACCAGAACAUUGCAAUUGGUUCCCGUCACUUCCGUAAAUUCCAGCUAAGCUAGGAAGUUUGUUGCUCGAGGUAAUAUUGUGGGUGAGCCCUAUCCUAACCUGCCUGCUUGUCCCAACCUUAGCACCACCUACCUUAUUAUCUCGACAAACCCCUCCCGCGGAUUGUGCCUCGUUCCCAGCCGUUAUAAAGAAUGUAGGACUAGGAGAGAACGAGGUCAAUCACGUGAUCCUAGAAGCUACCAGUACCUGUCCAUCGUCCAGAGAGAGAGUCAGCCAGCCCCGUUAUAAAUACACACUGCAGUUCCCAUUGAUCACCCAGCUACCCAACUGAUUUAGGGUAACGGACUUUACCAUGAAAUGGAACACUUAUUUUAUGUACUAUUGGAUUGGUCUUGCAUUAUUUUACAAUCC